rnacentral:rRNA from 1 species
GUGCCAGCCGCUGCGGUAAUACGUAGGGCGCAAGCGUUAUCCGGAAUUAUUGGGCGUAAAGAGCUCGUAGGCGGUUUGUCGCAUCUGCUGUGAAAACCCGAGGCUCAACCUCGGGCCUGCAGUGGGUACGGGCAGACUAGAGUGCGGUAGGGGAGAUUGGAAUUCCUGGUGUAGCGGUGGAAUGCGCAGAUAUCAGGAGGAACACCGAUGGCGAAGGCAGAUCUCUGGGCCGUAACUGACGCUGAGGAGCGAAAGGUGGGAGCAAAC